rnacentral:rRNA from 1 species
GCGUACGAUUGACACGGGCACGAGGUUAGACCCAGAGAGCCCCCACUCGGUAAUGAUCCUUCUGUAGGUGAACCUGCGGAAGGAUCAUUA